AAAAAAAAAAUGGAUGUGCUUAACACAUGCAAGUCGAGCGGAUCGAUGGAGCUUGCUCCCUGAGAUCAGCGGCGGACGGGUGAGUAACACGUGGGUAACCUGCCUGUAAGACUGGGAUAACUCCGGGAAACCGGGGCUAAUACCGGAUAAUUUAGUUCCUCGCAUGAGAACUGUUGAAAGGUGGCUUUUCGCUACCACUUACAGAUGGACCCGCGGCGCAUUAGCUAGUUGGUGAGGUAACGGCUCACCAAGGCAACGAUGCGUAGCGGGCAAAAAGAGGGUGAUCGCCACACUGGGACUGAGACACGGCCCAGACUCCUACGGGAGGCAGCAGUAGGGAAUCUUCCGCAAUGGACGAAAGUCUGACGGAGCAACGCCGCGUGAGUGAAGUAUUUUUCGGAUCGUAAACUCUGUUGUUAGGGAAGAACAAGUGCCGUCGAAUAGGGCGGCACUGAUCGUCUUCCAGGCC
rnacentral:rRNA from 1 species